rnacentral:sRNA from 1 species
GGUAUUCCUUAUCUAUCUAAUACGUUGAUUUGUCUGGAACCUGUCCCAUUGCAUUCUCAUGCCUUUUCGUUCAAACCACAAAAGUGCAAUAAGACAGGUUCUGCGUUUAGUUGCCGCGCUCUAAAGUUUG